GAUGAACGCUGGCGGCGUGCCUAAUACAUGCAAGUCGAGCGAACAGACGAGGAGCUUGCUCCUCUGACGUUAGCGGCGGACGGGUGAGUAACACGUGGAUAACCUACCUAUAAGACUGGGAUAACUUCGGGAAACCGGAGCUAAUACCGGAUAAUAUAUUGAACCGCAUGGUUCAAUAGUGAAAGACGGUUUUGCUGUCACUUAUAGAUGGAUCCGCGCCGCAUUAGCUAGUUGGUAAGGUAACGGCUUACCAAGGCAACGACGCGUAGCCGACCUGAGAGGGUGAUCGGCCACACUGGAACUGAGACACGGUCCAGACCCCUACGGGAGGCAGCAGUAGGGAAUCUUCCGCAAUGGGCGAAAGCCUGACGGAGCAACGCCGCGUGAGUGAUGAAGGUCUUCGGAUCGUAAAACUCUGUUAUUAGGGAAGAACAAAUGUGUAAGUAACUAUGCACGUCUUGACGGUACCUAAUCAGAAAGCCACGGCUAACUACGUG
rnacentral:rRNA from 1 species